CCCUUUGAUACUCUGGGCGGCACGCGCGCUACAAUGGAUAACUUAACGUGCUACAUGUCCGAAAGGAUGUAUGCAAAUCACAAAUGUUAUGUCUCGAGUGGGAUAGUUUACUGCAAUUAUAGACUUGAACUAGGAAUCCCUUGUAGGUACACUGAAGCAUAGUGUACCGAAUACGUCCCUGCCGUUUGUACACACCGCCCGUCGUUUCUUCCGACUGAUACUCAUUGUGAAUUGCGGGGAUAACGUUGUUGAAAACCGUUGUAAAUGCUGGGUAUUGGAGGAAGAAAAAGUCGUAACA
rnacentral:rRNA from 1 species